AAUCAACGCUGGCGGCGUGCCUCAGACAUGCAAGUCGAACGCGAAAGUCCCCUUCGGGGACGAAGUAGAGUGGCGCACGGGUGAGUAACACGUAGGUAAUCUACCUUUGGAUGGGGAAUAACAACCGGAAACGGUUGCUAAUACCGCAUAAUGCAGCGGCACCUAAUGGUGACAGUUGUUAAAGCGGGGGAUCGAAAGACCUCGCGUCUAAAGAGGAGCCUGCGGCGGAUUAGCUAGUUGGUAAGGAAUGGCUUACCAAGGCUACGAUCCGUAACCGGCCUGAGAGGGCGGUCGGUCACACUGACACUGACAUACGGGUCAGACUCCUACGGGAGGGCAGCAGUCGGGAAUUUUGGCAAUGGGCGAAAGCCUGACCCAGCAACGCCGCGUGAAGGAUGAAA
rnacentral:rRNA from 1 species